UACCUUAAUUCUUUCCUUUUCAAUUUUGCUCUUUUUACAAAGGAAUGGAAAGUCUAUUGAGGUUACUGAAUACUCCAAGUCAAGAUAGCUAGUUAGUAACUAAACAGGGUUAAGGUCUUUUGAAGUCUUUCUCAUUUCCCAACUCACUGUCAAGGUCUACAGAGUCUGAGAUUUGAUACUACUUGCAGACUAACAAGUUUGCCUGCCACUGUUUUGUGGAUACUGGCAGAAGACACAGGACUCUUGGGUCAGAGACAAAAGACUUCAGCACUCAUGGGAUUGAAGUUAGCCUGCUACUGUUUUGUGGAUACUGGCAGAAGACACAAGACUCUUGGGUCAGAGACAAAGGAUUUCAGUAUUCAUGGGACAACAGUGGCCAGAGCAGAUACUAUACAUCCUGUAGGUUUGCAUCACAGUCAAGGAAGAUGCUUCCAGAGUUCCAGGUGCUACCAAGACAAUAUCUCA
rnacentral:lncRNA from 1 species